rnacentral:rRNA from 1 species
UACGUAGGAGGCAAGCGUUGUCCGGAAUUACUGGGCGUAAAGCGCGUGUAGGCGGUUGUCCAAGUUGGAUGUGAAAGCCUUGAGCUCAACUCAAGAAAUGCAUUCAGGACUGGAUGACUAGAGGACCGGAGAGGAUAGUGGAAUUCCCAGUGUAGUGGUGAAAUACGUAGAGAUUGGGAAGAACACCAGUGGCGAAGGCGGCUAUCUGGACGGUUUCUGACGCUAAGACGCGAAAGCGUGGGGAGCAAACAGG